UACGUAGGGUGCGAGCGUUGUCCGGAAUUACUGGGCGUAAAGAGCUCGUAGGUGGUUUGUCGCGUUGUUCGUGAAAACUCACAACUCAAUUGUGGGCGUGCGGGCGAUACGGGCAGACUGGAGUACUGCAGGGGAGACUGGAAUUCCUGGUGUAGCGGUGGAAUGCGCAGAUAUCAGGAGGAACACCGGUGGCGAAGGCGGGUCUCUAGGCAGUAACUGACGCUGAGGAGCGAAAGCGUGGGGAGCAAACAGG
rnacentral:rRNA from 1 species